UAUUGGUAUUCUAGUGGUUAAGAGUUGGUUCUUGCACCUAUGUUAUCUGGGUUCGAUUCCCAGUUAGAGAA